GCGGGUGUAGUACAGUGGUAGUAUGCUAGCUUCCCAAGCUAGAGAUGGGAGUUCGAUUCUCCUCACCCGCUCCA
rnacentral:tRNA from 1 species